rnacentral:lncRNA from 1 species
UCUCUUUCUCACUUUCAAUCUCUGGCUUUCUAAAAAAGAGAUCUAUAUGACCCUUCUUCUUCCUCCCAGCAACACUGCUAGAUGUUUGUAUUAUUUCUUUAAGACCUUCACUGAGUGCGCGCUCUUCAUCACUAUCAUCCAAUAUAUCUCCACCAUCCAAUAUAUCCCUACCAUCUUGCACCACUCUUUGAUAUGUUGCAACAUCCAUAUGUUGUUUUUCAUUCAAAAUUGUCCAAAACUCUUCUCGAACUUCCUUGGGAC